CCUACGGGGGGCACCAGUGGGGAAUUUUGGACAAUGGGGGCAACCCUGAUCCAGCCAUGCCGCGUGUGUGAAGAAGGCCUUCGGGUUGUAAAGCACUUUCGGACGGAACGAAAUCGCGCGAUCUAAUAAGUCGCGUGGAUGACGGUACCGUAAGAAGAAGCACCGGCUAACUACGUGCCAGCAGCCGCGGUAAUACGUAGGGUGCGAGCGUUAAUCGGAAUUACUGGGCGUAAAGUGUGCGCAGGCGGCAGAGCAAGUCGAGUGUGAAAGCCCCGGGCUUAACUUGGGAAUUGCGCUCGAAACUACUUUGCUGGAGUGUGGCAGAGGAAGGUGGAAUUCCACGUGUAGCGGUGAAAUGCGUAGAGAUGUGGAGGAACACCAAUGGCGAAGGCAGCCUUCUGGGCCAACACUGACGCUCAUGCACGAAAGCGUGGGGAGCAAACAGGAUUAGAUACCCGAGUAGUC
rnacentral:rRNA from 1 species